rnacentral:rRNA from 1 species
UUUAAUUCGACGCAACGCGAAGAACCUUACCUGGGCUUGACAUGUGGGUGACCGGCCUGGAAACAGGUCUUCCCUUCGGGGCACCUUCACAGGUGGUGCAUGGCUGUCGUCAGCUCGUGUCGUGAGAUGUUGGGUUAAGUCCCGCAACGAGCGCAACCCCCGUCGCAUGUUGCCAGCAUUUAGUUGGGGACUCAUGCGAGACUGCCGGUGACAAACCGGAGGAAGGUGGGGAUGACGUCAAGUCAUCAUGCCCCUUAUGUCCAGGGCUACACACGUGCUACAUUGGCGCGUACAGAGGGCUGCGAUACCGCGAGGUGGAGCGAAUCCCUUAAAGCGCGUCUCGGUUCGGAUUGGAGGCUGAAACUCGCCUCCAUGAAGGCGGAGUUGCUAGUAAUCGCGGAUCAGCAUUGCCG